rnacentral:rRNA from 1 species
AGGACGACGCUGGCGGCGUGCUUAAUACAUGCAAGUCAACUUGACUUUAGAUAGCAAUAUCGAAAAGUAGGGUGGCGCACGGGUGCGUAACGCGUAGGUAAUCCUGCCCUGAGGUCUGACAUAACCCGUCGAAAGGCGGGCUAACAUCAGAUGAUAUAUAAUCACGACAUCGUGGAAAUAUCAAAUCUUCGGAGCCUUGGGAUGAGCCUGCGUCUGAUUAGGUAGUUGGCGGAGUAAUAGCCCACCAAGCCUACGAUCAGUAGCUGGUCUGAGAGGAUGAUCAGCCACACUGGAACUGAGACACGGUCCAGACUCCUACGGGAGGCAGCAGUAAGGAAUAUUGCUCAAUGGGGGAAACCCUGAAGCAGCAACGCCGCGUGAAGGAUGAAAUACUUUUGUAUGUAAACUUCUGUAAGAUGGGAAAAAUAUUCUCCUCGGGAGAAUUGAUUGUACCAUCAGAGUAAGCCCCGGCUAACUACGUG